rnacentral:rRNA from 1 species
CAAUAGCGUAUAUUAAAGUUGUUGCGGUUAAAACGCUCGUAGUUGGAUAUCUGUGAGCGGGUUCCGGUCCUGCCCAGUGCAGAUUACACGGAACUCUGCUCGCAUUUGUUCAGGGAGGGUGGAUGCACUUCACUGUGUGACCACAUGAUCUGAAUUUUUACUUUGAGGAAAUUAGAGUGUUUCACGCAGGCACCUGCCGUGAAUAUAUUAGCAUGGAAUAAUGAAAUACGACGAUUAUUCGAUUUUGUUGGUUUAUUGAAAGAUCGUAAUGAUAAAUAGGGACAGUCAGGGGCAUUCGUAUUUAACUGUCAGAGGUGGAAUUCUUGGAUUUGUUAAAGACGCACUACUGCGAAAGCAUUUGCCAGGGAUGUUUUCAUUGA